rnacentral:rRNA from 1 species
UAAGGAAUAUUGGACAAUGGUCGGAAGACUGAUCCAGCCAUGCCACGUGAAGGACGAAGGCGCUCAGCGUUGUAAACUUCUUUUGGACGGGGAUAAUACUGUCGAUUUAUCGGCACUUGAAGGUACCGUCAGAAUAAGCACCGGCUAACUCCGUGCCAGCAGCCGCGGUAAUACGGAGGGUGCAAGCGUUAUCCGGAAUCACUGGGUUUAAAGGGGGCGUAGGCGGCGAGGUAAGUCAGUUGUGAAAUC